AGCGAACGUUAGCGGGAGGCUUAACACAUGCAAGUCGAGCGAGAAAAGGGCUUCGGCCCCCAGUACAGCGGCGGACGGGUGAGUAACACGUGGAUAAUCUGCCCUUUGGCGGGGGACAAC
rnacentral:rRNA from 1 species